rfam:Brachypodium distachyon strain Bd21 chromosome 1, whole genome shotgun sequence.
GAAGUACUCCGUCCGUCUCAUAUUAAGUGACUCAAAUUUGUCUAAAUAUGGAUGUAUCUAUGUUUAAAAAGUAUCUAGAUACAUGUAAUAGAAAAUCAUUUAAUAUGAGACGGAGGAAGUAUGUG